rnacentral:rRNA from 1 species
CCUACGGGUUGCAGCAGUGGGGAAUCUUAGACAAUGGGGGAAACCCUGAUCUAGCCAUGCCGCGUGAGUGAAGAAGGCCCUAGGGUCGUAAAGCUCUUUCGCCAGGGAUGAUAAUGACAGUACCUGGUAAAGAAACCCCGGCUAACUCCGUGCCAGCAGCCGCGGUAAUACGGAGGGGGUUAGCGUUGUUCGGAAUUACUGGGCGUAAAGCGCGCGUAGGCGGACAAUUAAGUCAGGGGUGAAAUCCCGGGGCUCAACCCCGGAACUGCCUUUGAUACUGGUUGUCUUGAGUUCGAGAGAGGUGAGUGGAAUUCCGAGUGUAGAGGUGAAAUUCGUAGAUAUUCGGAGGAACACCAGUGGCGAAGGCGGCUCACUGGCUCGAUACUGACGCUGAGGUGCGAAAGCGUGGGGAGCAAACAGGAUUAGAUACCCGAGUAGUC